UGAUGGCGAGUGGCGAACGGGUGAGUAAUAUAUCGGAACGUGCCUAGUAAUGGGGAACAACUAAUCGAAAGGUUAGCUAAUACCGCAUACGAUCUAUGGAUGAAAGCGGGGGACCUUCGGGCCUCGCGCGAUUGGAGCGGCCGAUGUUAGAUUAGGUAGUUGGUGGGGUAAAGGCUCACCAAGCCGACGAUCUAUAGCUGGUCUGAGAGGACGACCAGCCACACUGGAACUGAGACACGGUCCAGACUCC
rnacentral:rRNA from 1 species